rnacentral:rRNA from 2 species
ACGCUCGCUGUGUGCUAAUACAUGCAUGUUGAACGGGAUGUAGCAAUACAUUCAGUAGCGAAUGGGUGAGUAACACGUACCUAACCUACCUUUAAGACUGGGAUAACUAUUGGAAACAAUAGCUAAUACCGGAUAUAGUUAUUUAUCGCAUGAUGAGUAAUAGAAAGGAGCUUCACAGCUUCACUUAAAAAUGGGGGUGCGGAACAUUAGUUAGUUGGUAGGGUAAUGGCCUACCAAGACGAUGAUGUUUAGCCGGGCCGAGAGGCUGUACGGCCACACUGGGACUGAGAUACGGCCCAGACUCCUACGGGAGGCAGCAGUAAGGAAUUUUCCACAAUGAGCGAAAGCUUGAUGGAGCGACACAGCGUGCAGGAUGAAGUUCUUCGGAAUGUAAACUGCUGUUAUAAGGGAAGAAAAAAUAGAAUAGGAAAUGAUUUUAUCUUGACGGUACCUUAUUAGAAAGCGACGGCAAACUAUGUGCCAGCAGCCGCGGUAAUACAUAGGUCGCAAGCGUUAUCCGGAAUUAUUGGGCGUAAAGCGUCCGUAGGUUUUUUGCUAAGUCUGGAGUUAAAUGCUGAAGCUCAACUUCAGUCCGCUUUGGAUACUGGCAAAAUAGAAUUAUAAAGAGGUUAGCGGAAUUCCUAGUGAAGCGGUGGAAUGCGUAGAUAUUAAGAAGAACACCAAUAGGCGAAGGCAGCUAACUGGUUAUAUAUUGACACUAAGGGACGAAAGCGUGGGGGAGCAAACAGGAUUAGAUACCCUGGUAGUCCACGCCGUAAACGAUGAUCAUUAGUUGGUGGAAUAAUUUCACUAACGCAGCUAACGCGUUAAAUGAUCCGCCUGAGUAGUAUGCUCGCAAGAGUGAAACUUAAAGGAAUUGACGGGAACCCGCACAAGCGGUGGAGCAUGUGGUUUAAUUUGAAGAUACGCGUAGAACCUUACCCACUCUUGACAUCUUCUGCAAAGCUAUAGAGAUAUAGUGGAGGUUAACAGAAUGACAGAUGGUGCAUGGUUGUCGUCAGCUCGUGUCGUGAGAUGUUAGGUUAAGUCCUGCAACGAGCGCAACCCUUUUCUUUAGUUACUAAUAUUAAGUUAAGGACUCUAGAGAUACUGCCUGGGUAACCAGGAGGAAGGUGGGGACGACGUCAAAUCAUCAUGCCUCUUACGAGUGGGGCAACACACGUGCUACAAUGGUCGGUACAAAGAGAAGCAAUAUGGUGACAUGGAGCAAAUCUCAAAAAACCGAUCUCAGUUCGGAUUGAAGUCUGCAACUCGACUUCAUGAAGUCGGAAUCGCUAGUAAUCGUAGAUCAGCUACGCUACGGUGAAUACGUUUCUCGGGUUUUGUACACACCGCCCGUCACACCAUGGGAGUUGGUAAUGCCCAAAGUCGGUGAGUAACUUCGGAGACCAUUGCCUAAGCAGACUGAUGACU